rnacentral:rRNA from 1 species
GACGAACGCUGGCGGCGUGCCUAACACAUGCAAGUCAACUUGAGGGAAGGAGCAAUCUGACCUGAUGGUGGCGCAAGGGUGCGUAACGCGUAAGUAACUUGCCCAAGGUAAGGAAUAACGUCGAGAAAUCGGCGCUAAUACCUCAUAAUGCAGCGGAUCCGCAUGGAUAUGUUGUUAAAGGUUUACCGCCUUGGGAUAGGCUUGCGUCUGAUUAGCUAGUUGGUGUGGUAAUGGCACACCAAGGCUACGAUCAGUAACUGGUCUGAGAGGAUGAUCAGUCACACUGGAACUGAGACACGGUCCAGACUCCUACGGAGGCAGCAGUGAGGAAUAUUGGGCAAUGCACGAAAGUAGU